rnacentral:rRNA from 1 species
GACGAACGCUGGCGGCGUGCUUAACACAUGCAAGUCGAACGGUAAGGCCCUUCGGGGUACACGAGUGGCGAACGGGUGAGUAACACGUGGGUGAUCUGCCCUGCACUUCGGGAUAAGCCUGGGAAACUGGGUCUAAUACCGGAUAGGACCCUGGGAUGCAUGUCCUGGGGUGGAAAGCUUUUGCGGUGUGGGAUGGGCCCGCGGCCUAUCAGCUUGUUGGUGGGGUGAUGGCCUACCAAGUCGACGACGGGUAGCCGGCCUGAGAGGGUGACCGGGCAGACGGGGACUGAGAUACGGCCCAGACUCCUACGGGAGGCAGCAGUGGGGAAUAUUGCACGAUGGGCGCAAGCCUGAUGCAGCGACGCCGCGUGAGGGAUGACGGCCUUCGGGUUGUAAACCUCUUUCAGCACCGACGAAGCGCCAGUGACGGUAGGUGCAGAAGAAGGACCGGCCAACUACGUGCCAGCAGCCGCCGUAA